rnacentral:rRNA from 1 species
CUACCAUGCAGUCGACGGUACAGGAGAGAGCUUGCUCUCUUGCUGACGAGUGGCGGACGGGUGAGUAAUGCAUAGGAAUCUGCCCAGUAGUGGGGGACAACUCGGGGAAACUCGAGCUAAUACCGCAUACGCCCUACGGGGGAAAGCGGGGGAUCUUCGGACCUCGCGCUAUUGGAUGAGCCUAUGUCAGAUUAGCUUGUUGGUAGGGUAAAGGCCUACCAUGGCUACGAUCUGUAGCUGGUCUGAGAGGACGAUCAGCCACACUGGGACUGAGACACGGCCCAGACUAAUACGGGAGGCAGCAGUGGGGAAUAUUGGACAAUGGGGGCAACCCUGAUCCAGCAAUGCCGCGUGUGUGAAGAAGGCCUGCGGGUUGUAAAGCACUUUCAGUGGGGAGGAAAAGCUCAAGGUUAAUACCCUUGAGUCUUGACGUUACCCACAGAAGAAGCACCGGCUAACUCCGUGCCAGCAGCCGCGGUAAUACGGAGGGUGCAAGCGUUAAUCGGAAUUACUGGGCGUAAAGCGCGCGUAGGCGGCUUGAUAAGUCGGAUGUGAAAUCCCUGGGCUUAACCUGGGAAUUGCAUUCGAUACUGUCAGGCUAGAGUGUGUAGAGGAAGUGGAAUUUCCGGUGUAGCGGUGAAUGCGUAGAUAUCGGAAAGAACAUCAGUGGCG